GAUGAACGCUGGCGGCGUGCCUAAUACAUGCCAGUCGAGCGAACAGACGAGGAGCUUGCUCCUCUGACGUUAGCGGCGGACGGGUGAGUAAUACGUGGAUAACCUACCUAUAAGACUGGGAUAACUUCGGGAAACCGGAGCUAAUACCGGAUAAUAUAUUGAACCGCAUGGUUCAAUAGUGAAAGACGGUUUUGCUGUCACUUAUAGAUGGAUCCGCGCCGCAUUAGCUAGUUGGUAAGGUAACGGCUUACCAAGGCAACGAUGCGUAGCCGACCUGAGAGGGUGAUCGGCCACACUGGAACUGAGACACGGUCCAGACUCCUACGGGAGGCAGCAGUAGGGAAUCUUCCGCAAUGGGCGAAAGCCUGACGGAGCAACGCCGCGUGAGUGAUGAAGGUCUUCGGAUCGUAAAACUCUGUUAUUAGGGAAGAACAAAUGUGUAAGUAACUAUGCACGUCUUGACGGUACCUAAUCAGAAAGCCACGGCUAACUACGUG
rnacentral:rRNA from 1 species